GGGUCUGCGUCUCAUUAGCUUGUUGGCGGGGUAACGGCCCACCAAGGCAACGAUGGGUAGCCGAUUUGAGAGGAUGAUCGGCCACACUGGAACUGAAACACGGUCCAGACUCCUACGGGAGGCAGCAGUGGGGAAUAUUGCGCAAUGGGCGAAAGCCUGACGCANCGACGCCNNNUGAGGGAUGAAGGUUUUCGGAUCGUAAACCUCUGUCAGAAGGGAAGAAACUACRUUGUGCUAAUCAGCAGCGUACUGACGGUACCUUCAAAGGAAGCACCGGCUAACUCCGUGCCAGCGGCCGCGGYAAUACGGAGGGKGYGAGGGU
rnacentral:rRNA from 1 species